AGAUAAAACACUGAGAAAAAUACACGACCUCUCCCCGACCCCCCCCCCCCCCCCCCCCCCCCCCCCCCCCCCCGACAGCCUUCCUUCAAUCAGAUCUUCUGUAGGAAUACACGGAUAGAUUACCAUAAUGUCGACGGAGGACGAGAAGUUGUUGAAGGAGGCGAAGAAACUGCCGUGGGAGGAUCGAUUGAUGCACAAGAACUGGAAGGUGAGGAACAAUGCCAAGUCGACCUUGCCGCUCUCUGCGAUUCCAUCUCCGAUCCCAAGGACCCCCCGCCUCCGUGAGUUCGGUGAGUUAGGGUUUCCUCUGCUUUUCUACCAUUUUAUCUGUGUUGUUACUCUUCUCAUUGGUCUCGUAUUUUGCUGCUUACUGAAUAAAACUUGGUUUACUUUUACUCAAACAUUAGGAACAUGUAUGUUUCUGUUGCUAUUCUUUGAGCCUCUCAAUAUUACUUCUGAGUUCUGAGACGUCACAGGUACUCUUGCCUGGAAGGGGUUUCAGUUUCAUAGUGGAUAAACAUUCAUUAACAGAUAGAAAAUUUCUUUCUAGGCUAUCGUGAUACAUGGUUUUCAGUUGCUUGAUAUAUGGAUCCACCACAUGUCAGGGAACAAUUCAUUUUGCGAGAGAUUCAAGCUCUUUGAUAUGUCAGCAGGGUAGUUUUGAAACUAUUGUUGGUAUAAUUGUCAUUUUUUUUGGUAAUUGUAUCUACUUUAACGAGGGGUUAGGAGUUCCUAGGCUCCACCCAAUUGCUAUGUUGUGUUUGUUCCGUUCAUAGCUUACAAAAAUUAGUGAAAGUAUACUGCUGUUAUUUUUCUCCUUUUUUCCGGUAUUCGGUAAUAGUAUGUACGAGUACAAAUUAUUAUGGAGGUUUUGGGAACUAUCCAUAGAAAUAAAUGCACCAUUGUGGAUCAAUGCACGAAUAAAAUCGAUUCAGGUGGGUUUGUAUAUAUAGGUUAAGGGUAUUAUUUUUUGGUAAUUUACGUUUGUUUCUUUUUUUUGGCCAAUUGGAUUUAAGUUUGUAUUGUUCGUUUGUUGGACUCAAAAUCGAUCUUUGCAGUGGCUAAUUGGGCAUUUAUUGUUAUUUUUUCAUUUUUUAGAGUUCGAGAAUUGAAGCAAGGAGUCCAGAAUACCAUGGUUAUUUAGUGAUUAUCGUAAACCAAAACUUUGUUUUAUGUUUUUGGAGUGAAAAGAAAUAGGAGUCCGAUGCAGAAUGGAGAUAUGUUUUUUUUUGAACGGCCGCAAUGGAGAUAUGAGAAGUCUUAAUUACAUUUGGCGCUACUGGUAAAUUAGUGUUUUUUCUUGUCCCGUUCCAUUUAUUUGCUAAAUUAUUAUAUAUUUUUUUGGCUUUUUUGAAUCCCGUGUUAAGUUUUCCGGCAAACAACUAAGGUCCAUUCAAUCCUAUUUUUUAUUAACUAUUUUAUGAUUAGUGAAUAACAUUAUCAGAUGAUUGAUUGAGCAUUUUUUGUUAAGCAUUCGGUUUGGAUUAUGAUUGUUUAGUAAGUCGUAAAUGGCCAAGAGAAAGAGGGAUGGAUCAGAGUAGCUGAAGUUGGAGACCUUAAAUGAUUCAUCACCUAUGGUCUCCUCUCUUUCUCUGAUUAAUGCAUCAUUAAUGGGUUUACAUUUAUAUUUUGCAUAUGUUGUUUUUCUGGUCAUUUAGAAUUGUGUUUGUCUUGUGGUAGAUUAAGAAGAUUGUUGAUUUUCCUUUCUACCCGAUUGAUCACACACAAUUAAGAGAAACUGGAUUAAAUGGUAAAUCAACUUCCUCUCUCUUUGCGUGUGUUAUGAUUUCUAUGAAACCUUUGUUUUUAUUUUUAAGACCUACUUGAUUCAUGCUUCGUUGCUAUAUUUCAAGGUUGGUUGGAAGAUUCGUUGGUGCUAGCAAGGUUGAGAACUCACUAUCAUGAUAUCCAAUUCCCAUAAUUGAUGCCCCAUUCGUCUGAUCUUUCAUGAUUCGAUGUGAAACUGUUAAAGAGCAAAUUUGGUGUUCAAUCCAUAUUAAAGAGAAAUGUAGAAGCGGCGUUGCACGUAUUUGAAGGCAUACAUGGGAAACCAAAAAAUAUAUUAUUUACAAUUGGUUUUUCCUUUUAUAUGAAGUAAUAUUAUAUGAACUUUAAAGUGUUUGCUUAUUUGUUGUCUCAUAUGGAUUCCAGGUCAUUCAACCUUGUGUUUUACAAGAAAUUUCUUUAGCAUCCUCCAAUGACCAUUUGAAUCUUGUAUUCCUUCAGUUUAGCAUGGCACAAUGAGAGGGUGUUCCACUAACCCUUCUUUUUAUAAAAGUUCUUUUUCUUCAAUUUUUCAACUCAAAUAUAAUGAAAAUGAAAAAUAAUUUUUUGAUUUUUUUUGCACCGUAUAAAAGAUCUCAAUGAAAUCUAUCAAACUAGAUUCAUAUUGGUAGAAAAAUUAUUUGCGUAAACACAUAAUUUUUGGGCUUGAAAUUUACCUUCCUUUUCAAAAACCCACUUUUUGAAAAAGUGGAACACUCUCUGACUUAAUCCCCAUGAGGUAAUAAUAAUGCAUUUGCAAUGUUGUCUUCAUUUAGUCAUUUGAACCAGUGUCACUAAUGUUUUUCAUCACUUGACUACAAAAUAUGGUCAAAUGUACUUACAAAAAAAAGAAAACAGAGAGGGUCAAAUGAAUGACAUUUCUUUUCCUUUUGCUAAUUCAUUGUUUGCUCUGUUUUUGGAAUUGUUCAGUGUAAUAGUCAACAUGUUGCUAUAGAUGGAAGGCUAAUAUCAAAUGCUCCUCGGGACAACAUUUCCUCCCAAAGCUUUCAGGUUGGGAAGCGACGACAAGUACCCCGACUCCAUGUAUAGAUCUGAGCAAGACAAGGAACCAAAGCAAGAAGUUGUGCCUGAAGUUGUGGGCUCUGGCCUUUAUGAAGAAUUUGUUACAGAUGCUUAGUAUAGAUGUCAAUAUAGCUGUUGCAGUUGAAGCCAUCCAGGCAAUUGGGAAUCUUGCCAGGGGCCUACAAACACAUUUCUCUUGAAAUUCACGCUUCUUAUUACCCAUUUUACUCGUAAGUAUGUUAUGGGAAGCUAUAGAUACAGAAUUCAGCUCAAUUUGUAUGUGUGCCUCUACCAGUUAAUAGU